AAAGUCAAGAAGCUCAAUUAGACUGGCGCACAGCCUAGGUUCCAGGAACCAGGCGAAGAGGGCCUGGAAAGGUGGAGGCCGAGGCUGGAUCUGAGGACGUCUGGAGUAGUGAGCCUUCUUCACCCAAUACACGUGCCAUUUAUGAAGCAGCCUUUCAGUUUGCCAGCUCCCCAGUCUGGCACUCCUGCAUGCAGCCCACCGUGAGACAGCCCACCGUGAGACAUGUUAUUCCAGCUCAUCCUACCAUCUCUGGUAUUCAUCAUCAACCCCAGUGUCUCUUUCUCUGCCUCCUACUUGAAGAUCAAGAUGUGAACACUCAGCCAUUCCUGCCACCAUGCCCUCACUCUGACGUCAUGGACUCCCAUCCUCUGAAACUGUACGCUCCAAAAUUAUAUGCUUUCUUUUAUAAGUUACUUUCAUCGUGGUGUCUUAUUGCAGAAAGAGAAAUGUGGCUAUGACAGUGGACAAGACCUUGCUCAUCCAUUUGACAGGACAGAGAAAACCUGGGCCAUGGUGACAGAUGAGGCCUCCCAAGGCCGGGGCCUAGGCAUCACGCAUCUGAGUAGAAGCUAAAAGCAGAGGCACUCUGAUAACCCAGCAAGGCUGCCAAAUGAAACCUCUCAGCACCAUCUUUUAAGCACCUUCCUAAAGAACAGAUCCACUCCAGGCAAGAGACCGAGGAGUCUCAAUCUCUCUUCUUCCUAGUUUGUUCUUGGGGCCCUCUCUUUAGUAAAACAGUUUCUGGAUACCCCCUGUAGGCCCAGAGCUGGGGUGAGAGCUGGGUCAAGGCCUGGAGACAGCCUCUGCCCAUGCCAACACCCUCCUUCAAGGCAGGGUAAGGGAAGCUUAGGCAUGGUGGUCCAUGCCUGAAAUUCCAGCGGUCAGGAGACUGAGGUAGGAGGGUUCCAGACCAGCCUAGGCUGCCACCUGCCAAGAUCCUGGCUUUCUUGAUUCCCUUCCUUCCUUCCUUCCUUCCUUCCUUCCUUCCUUCCUUCCUUCCUUCCUUCCUUCCUUCCCUGCCUCCCUCCCUCCCACUUUCCUUCCCUCCCUCCUACUUCUCAUUCUCAAGACAGGGUCUCUCUGUGUAGACUUUGCUAUCCUGGAACUUUCUACUGGUCUCACAGAGAUCCAUCUGCCUUUGCCUCUGACUCCUAAAUGUUGGAUUAAAGGUAUACCACUCAUAUUUAUGUUCUUAUUUUUGAAAUAUUUAU